GGGAGGCAGCAGUGGGGAAUAUUGCACAAUGGGCGCAAGCCUGAUGCAGCCAUGCCGCGUGUGUGAAGAAGGCUCUAGGGUUGUAAAGCACUUUCAGUCGGGAGGAAAGCUUGUAGAUUAAUACUCUGCAAGUGUGACGUUACCGACAGAAGAAGCACCGGCUAACUCCGUGCCAGCAGCCGCGGUAAUACGGAGGGUGCAAGCGUUAAUCGGAAUUACUGGGCGUAAAGCGCACGUAGGUGGUUCGUUAAGUUGGAUGUGAAAGCCCCGGGCUCAACCUGGGAACUGCAUUCAAAACUGAUGAGCUAGAGUAUGGUAGAGGUGAGUGGAAUUUCCUGUGUAGCGGUGAAAUGCGUAGAGAUGGGAAGGAACAUCAGUGGCGAAGGCGACUCACUGGACCAAUACUGACACUGAGGUGCGAAAGCGUGGGUAGCAAACAGGAUUAGAUACCCUGGUAGUCCACGCCGUAAACGAUGUCUACUAGCCGUUGGGGUCCUUGAGACUUUAGUGGCGCAGCUAACGCACUAAGUAGACCGCCUGGGGAGUACGGUCGCAAGAUUAAAACUCAAAUGAAUUGACGGGGACCCGCACAAAAGGG
rnacentral:rRNA from 1 species